rnacentral:ncRNA from 1 species
CCAGGAUCCGGGCCAUCGCCGCCCGGUGGCUAUCCCGUCCGCCCAUCCGUCGGGAAAUC